rnacentral:rRNA from 1 species
GUGCACGCUGGCGGUCGGCCUAACACAUGCAAGUCGAACGGCAGCACCGUAAGAGCUUGCUCUUACGGGUGGCGAGUGGCGGACGGGUGAGGAAUACAUCGGAAUCUACUUUUUCGUGGGGGAUAACGUAGGGAAACUUACGCUAAUACCGCAUACGACCUACGGGUGAAAGCAGGGGAUCUUCGGACCUUGCGCGAUUGAAUGAGCCGAUGUCGGAUUAGCUAGUUGGCGGGGUAAAGGCCCACCAAGGCGACGAUCCGUAGCUGGUCUGAGAGGAUGAUCAGCCACACUGGAACUGAGACACGGUCCAGACUCCUACGGGAGGCAGCAGUGGGGAAUAUUGGACAAUGGGCGCAAGCCUGAUCCAGCCAUACCGCGUGGGUGAAGAAGGCCUUCGGGUUGUAAAGCCCUUUUGUUGGGAAAGAAAAGCAGCAGGUUAAUACCCCGCUGUUCUGACGGUACCCAAGGAAUAAGCACCGGCUAACUUCGUG